UGGCCCGUUGGUCAAGUGGUUAAGACACCGCCCUUUCACGGCGGUAACACGGGUUCGAAUCCCGUACGGGUCACCAU
rnacentral:tRNA from 1 species